rnacentral:rRNA from 1 species
GACGAACGCUGGCGGCGUGCUUAACACAUGCAAGUCGAACGGAAAGGCCCUGCUUUUGUGGGGUGCUCGAGUGGCGAACGGGUGAGUAACACGUGAGUAACCUGCCCUUGACUUUGGGAUAACUUCAGGAAACUGGGGCUAAUACCGGAUAGGAGCUCCUGCUGCAUGGUGGGGGUUGGAAAGUUUCGGCGGUUGGGGAUGGACUCGCGGCUUAUCAGCUUGUUGGUGGGGUAGUGGCUUACCAAGGCUUUGACGGGUAGCCGGCCUGAGAGGGUGACCGGCCACAUUGGGACUGAGAUACGGCCCAGACUCCUACGGGAGGCAGCAGUGGGGAAUAUUGCACAAUGGGCGGAAGCCUGAUGCAGCAACGCCGCGUGCGGGAUGACGGCCUUCGGGUUGUAAACCACUUUCGCCUGUGACGAAGCGUGAGUGGCGGUAAUGGGUAAAGAAGCACCGGCUAACUACGU